UACGAAGGGGGCUAGCGUUGUUCGGAUUUACUGGGCGUAAAGCGCACGUAGGCGGAUCGAUCAGUCAGGGGUGAAAUCCCAGGGCUCAACCCUGGAACUGCCUUUGAUACUGUCGAUCUGGAGUAUGGAAGAGGUGAGUGGAAUUCCGAGUGUAGAGGUGAAAUUCGUAGAUAUUCGGAGGAACACCAGUGGCGAAGGCGGCUCGCUGGCCCGGUACUGACGCUGAGGCACGAAAGCGUGGGGAGCAAACAGG
rnacentral:rRNA from 1 species